UCUUUUCUUCCCUGCAACUGCUUUCUCUCUCCUUCGCCGCGAGGCAUGGCCACCGUACGCUUCCACUCUGGCCGCACAUAAAUCCUUCCUCUGCAACGCACAUAAACUUCUUUUCCAGUAAGUCCGCCGCACUCUCUUCUCUUUUUUCUUCCCCUUCGUCUUCUUCUUCUUUCUUUCUUCUUCUUCUUCUUCUUCCUUUUUCCUUUCUUCUUUUCCAUUUUCUUCAUUUCUCUUUCUCUCUAUCUCUCUAUUUCUCUCUCUACCCGACCAUGACUCUUCUCUCUCUUCUCCUCCUUCUUCUUCUAGUCGCGCGUCACCGAAUCGCACAACCCGCCCGACCCUCCUCCUCUUUCAUUUUCUUUCAGCUAUGGCAUUGCGUAACACAGCGCAACCCUUCUCUCUCAACCGUCGACGGUGCCCAACCCUCUCUCUCGUCUCACAAUCAUGUCUCUCACUCCUCGCUCUCUCCUCUCUUUUUUUUCUUUCUUUCUUUUUCUAUUAUUUAAUUAUAUAUAUAUACAUAUACAUAUAUAUUUGCCGUUUGGGUCCUAUUCUCCUGCUCUCUGCGUCCUUUUGCUUUUUUUCUUUACUUCUCUUCUCUUUCUUUUAUUUUUCUUUAUUUAAUUAUAUACACAC
rnacentral:lncRNA from 1 species